UUUAUUUUAUUUUUCCAGCUCUACAAGAAGUACCCUGGGCCAGACUCUGGGGCAUCUGCUGUGGAUACAGAGAGGAAUAAGGUAUCUCAUGAAAAUGACUAUAAAACUUCUUGGCAAAUGGGAGUACUUUGGAAUAUUUAGGGAAAAUUGUCCGAUAGGAGACAGGACUAAAGUGCAGCUCCCACUUGGAUAAACCAAACAGCAUGUGGAGACUCACGUUGUGAAUUUUUGCUCCAAGAACUCCCUCAGGAAAAUACCAGAAAAACCAAAAGAAUUCAGAGACCCUUUGAAAAAAGUGACUUGCCACUCCAAACUCCAUGAGACAGCUAAAAAACUGUGCUGUCUGUACACAGAGGGUUUUGUCUGGUCGCCGGUGUAUCUUCAGUGCCCAGAACAGUGCAUGGCAAUGGCAGACUCUCAAAUGAUGGUUUAAAGAGGGUUGUCUUUUCCAAGGCCCAUCACCUGCUUCACAGGCCUCCAUCUUCCUGUGUUCACCCAGCAAACUCCUCGUCAGCCUUUCUAGGCAUUCUCUAUGGAGCUGACUUCUCUCCACCUCCCAUCUCAUACCCAGCGAGGAGAUGGAGAUGCAGAGAAGGAAAAUGACUUGCCUAGCAUUGCAUGCUGGUAAGAAGAGGAACUAUCGGAAGAUCUGGGUGUUGGUUGCAAAUUCCAUACUUGCUGCAUUACAGUGUGCACAGUAAUGACCAUCUUGGGGCCGGGCCCAGGACAAUAGCAAGUAGUUGGUGCUCAACAAAGAGUUAUUAUAGGAAGGACUCAAAACAUCACCUGCUGACCAGGCACAGUGGCUCACCUGUAAUCUGGAUAUUUUGGGAGGCUGAGGUGGGAGGAUGACGUGA